AAGGCCGGCGGUUUAUCUCAGAGGAGAGCCAGCAAAAGGCUUUGUAUGACCGGUUGAUGCAAGAAAUCAGCAGUCAAAAUGUGAACCCAUUAACUCUUUCUGAAGACGCAUUAGUGUUCCUUUCCUCGCUGCAGAAGAUGCAAAACGAAGAAAAUGAAGAAAAGGCUCCGGAAAGACCCGGAUAUUUUGCUGAUGGUCUAUUACAUUGGUGAAAGAUUUUUCAACCUUAAAUGGGAAUGUGGGGUGAAUUUAAAAGGAAAAUGUAUUCUGUACGAGACCAUUUUUCCCCCCAUUCAUCAUCUCAACUUCCUUCUCUAAAAUACCUGAAUUGGUCACUGGUCAAUAUCUUCUCAAUGUCAAUCAUUCUGCAGCAUCAAUACCAAACAAUUAAAAGCAUUCUUUUUCCUGCUUAGAAGUAUGUUGAUGUGCUGUUAUUAUUAUGUUCAACCUGCUUAUCUUACUUUCUGAAAGACUUGGAAUGACGUGUCCUUUCUAACAUCCCAAAUAUGAACUUUCAGACUUUGCUUAUGUACAACUAAAACAUACUAACAGCAUCGGUGACUCUAACUUACUGUGGUUUUCUUUGCUUAAAAUGGAGAAAUUCAGCAGGUUCUGAUAGGUUCUGGAGAACCAGUAGUGGAAAUUUUGACUAGUUUGG